CAGUGGGCAGAGGGGCUGCGGUGAUCUGGAGAUGGUGGGGAGAUAGAGGAGUGCUGUGUGGUGGAAGCAGGAGUCUACCUAUUGCACCUCCUUUUCUGUUACGGUAAGAAGAGGAGCCCUGUCUUGGUCCUGGCUGUCCUGCGGCCCUCUCACGCAGUCUCAGCGUGGGGCUGGGGCUCUCCAGCGGCGCCAGCCGAGGUCUGCAGGCUCAGGAGAAGGGCUGAUGUGCUGUGUUGCAGUAGAAGCAGACAGAAGAUCCAUGGGGGACAGAAAGAGAUGCCAGGAAGUCUGUAACACUUGAUGGCUCUAAAGUUAAUUAUCAAAGUCUGCAGGGUCAUUUCUGGCUAAGGACAGACCAGCUGUUUGCACAGGUGUAGGCUUCACCUCUAGGAAUAAAAGAAGAAGAGCUGUGGAAGGAGGGACAACGUUGGGAUCUGUUUCUGGGCCGUGGUUGCCCCCAGCGAUCCAUUUUACAUGGGAGAAUGAGGAGGAGAAAUGCAGAAUCCGGAAGCGUGUGCAAAACCUCUUCCUUGAGAUACCCUGAGGAAAGGCCUCGUAUGGCUCAGCAACCCUGGAAAAGAUGUUUAACUUUGCAGCGUGCCAUCCUGUGAUGUGUGCAAGGAUAACAGAAAGAAGUGUCUGCUUUCCGACGAGGGCAAUUUGGCUCAUCCGUGCCUUCCCGCAUGCCUGGGGGCUCCAAAGAAACACCAGACACUUUGGUGCUAUGCACGAAGGCAAGUGAGGAAAAGGUGGGAGCACAGUCAACUUGGCAUCUUGUCCUUGACCGUGGCCUGAAGCAGGAAAGAGUUAUUCCCCCUGCAUUUGUUUCAGAGCAGCGUCCUGGUUCGGACCCUCUCCCUGCGACAGCCCGGUGGAAGAGCACCGGACUUCCCUGUAAAUACCAUGAUGGGAAGGAGCCGUGAAACGGCAAACGUCACUGUGCAUUGAUGGCACACGAGGACGUUGCUUCCCGGGGGCUGCCAAGAGCCACUCGAGCAGAGAAGUGCAGGUUAAACAAGCCAAAAGCCCACAUCAGCCCCCGGAGUACUCAGUGUGCCCCAGCAAGUGGGGCUGGUUCCUGCUCCCCUUGGAGUCAUUGCUGCCAGGGGGGCUCGAGGGGCUCCCCAGGGAGUCCCAGCCAAGAUUUACAGCCCUGAAUGUGGAUUUUGAGUGCUUUGAGGGGUGAAGCAGGGUUUGCAUUUCAGGGCAGCAGGACCUGCAUGGGGAUGGGGCUCCUGGGCUCUGUGGUAGGUGGGUAUCAAUAGAAACUGUCUCUCAGUAACAUUUGCUUAACUAAUGUGUUUUAACCAUUGAUCUGGCCUCCCUGAGACCUUUUCACUUAAGGUUUUAAAGGACCUUGUGGUGAUGCAUGGCCAGUGGCAGAGACAGAUGGGUUUUGGUGGAAUUAAACUGUUGUCCAACCCUUGGCUGAACCAUGACCUUGAGAACAGCCAAGGAGGGCCUCCUGCCAUGCAAGACUCGAGAUGGAUGGUCUCCAUGAGGGCAAGAGCAGGUGAUGGCAAUAGGAAUGAAGUUAGGUUAGCAACCAGAUCAUUUUAAAUCCUUGUUGGGAUCUGGUGCUGUGAAACCAAUUAAACCUUGCAGCGGUUAAAGCAAAGAUGGAUGGUCCGGGCUGUGAUCCUGCGUGGCUUCAUUGAUGAGAGGAACCCAAAUGAACACGGGACAAGUUGAUUUUUUCAUUGCUGCUGUUGGAUAAAGUUUAGCUGGGAGGACUUUUUAACCUUAAAGCAGACGUCUUCAGGUCUGGGCUAAAUUAUGCCUCCACAGGCUGUCAUUAUAUCAUAAAAGGAGCAGGUAAUUUUAACAUUUUUGAACAAUUGCCCAGAUUAAGUUUGCUAAAGAAGAAACCUCUGUGAGUGUUCAUGGACGCAUAGAGGAAACCAGGACUGGAAUGCUUUGAUUUAUGAGUGGGGUCGGGGAUGCCCUGGAAUGAGCGGGUCCUUGGACAGCCUACACACGAGAGCAGGAGGCUUAAAAGACCUGCUGAAACGCUUUGUGGUCUGAGGAUUUCGCUGCUGCACCGAUUCAUCUCCGAUUAUCAAACAGAGCACAAAUUCCUUCCUGAUGACAUGUGAGUGAGUGUGUUACUGGAGAAGCCGGCUGAUGAAUUCAGGGUGAGAGGGAUAUGGCAGAGGGUCCUUCGGUUUUUUUGGGGAGGACUUGAGUGCUUUUGGUUGCUGAAGUGAUUCAGGGAGGUUCCUGCAGCCUGCAGAGCUCAUGAUGCUGUUUUAAGCUCACUGGAGACGUGGCUAUUGGACCAGAAGACAUUUUUAAGAGGUAAAACAGCAUCCUUGGCCAUGGGCUGGUGGCGCAUUUUGCAAAAGUUAUAUCCCCCAAACUGGAAGAGAAAAACCCCGAGUGACAGUCCUGUGAGCAGCACGUUGUGAAGACAGGGCGGUGUGUAACUCUUCACUCUUUGACAUUUUCAAGGCAGGGAAAAGAAGUAGAAAAGGAGAGACAUUGUGUGCUGUCUUUCUGCUCCAAGUUACCCACAUUUUUAUACCCCAGUAAAACUUGAGACUCCUUGAGGGCCUGAGCCUGCGUAGCCCACACCCAGCAGCGGUGGAUGCCAGCAGGAGAAGCAUCUUGGCCCCAUUUUUGGGAGCGCAAACGGCAGCAGAGGCUGUGCAGAACCAGGCCUGGGAUGGUGUCCCUGACGUCAGGCAGGAGCGCCCGGGGAGCAGCGUUAGAAACACCCUUCGCUGGUGUGAAUUAGGUUAGAGCCUGGUCCCGGGAGGAAGGGGGAAUUCAUUAAAACGCCACCACAUGUGGAGGGAGGUUAUAACUGAUUUUGAGCGAGUGCAGCUGACAAUCUGAAAAUAUAUUUUCCCUUCCAAAGGGUUUUUAUUCUUUCAGCUCUGCCUCGCUGCAGCCUUCAAAUACCACAGAUGUACGUACAGGCGAUGGUCUGGCGUUGGCAUGAGCUUUUCCCAGUAGCGAUACAGAGCAGACCGAGGCAGUGACGAUUAUAGUCAGCUAUUUAAAGAAAGAUGCUGCUUUUCCGUCGCUCAGGUCUUUGCGCCCAUUCAUGCUCAGUGGGAAGUAAGUGGCAUUUUCCAGCUUUUGCAGUGACAAUUUCUGUUCUUUGUAGUUUCGUGCUGCUCUGCUGUUGGUUUAUUCAGGAAUAGCCCAAGCAAAAAGCACCCCAGCUCUCAGCAGGCAACAUAAAUUCAGCUCCUGGAGCUGCAGGAACCACCUUUGAAGAUGCUCCUCCGAUGGAGAUGCUCAGGCAAGCCCUCGCGGUUUAAGACCACAUUGCUAAAUUUAACACCAUGCAGGUCCUUGGCCCCUUUGGGUGAUGGGGUUUAGAUAACCCCACUCUGAGCUCCGAAAAGCCGCAGCCGUUACCCUUGCUCA